rnacentral:rRNA from 1 species
GACGAACGCUGGCGGCGUGCUUAACACAUGCAAGUCGAACGGUGAAGCCCUUCGGGGUGGAUCAGUGGCGAACGGGUGAGUAACACGUGAGCAACCUGCCCCUGGCUCUGGGACAACCACUGGAAACGGUGGCUAAUACCGGAUACGACCCGCCUCGGCAUCGAGUGUGGGUGGAAAGUUUUUCGGCUGGGGAUGGGCUCGCGGCCUAUCAGCUUGUUGGUGAGGUGAAGGCUCACCAAGGCGACGACGGGUAGCCGGCCUGAGAGGGCGACCGGCCACACUGGGACUGAGACACGGCCCAGACUCCUACGGGAGGCAGCAGUGGGGAAUAUUGCACAAUGGGCGAAAGCCUGAUGCAGCGACGCCGCGUGAGGGAUGACGGCCUUCGGGUUGUAAACCUCUUUCAGCUCCGAAGAAGCGAAAGUGACGGUAGGAGCAGAAGAGGCACCGGCUAACUACGUG